CCUACGGGAGGCAGCAGUGAGGAAUAUUGGUCAAUGGACGCAAGUCUGAACCAGCCAUGCCGCGUGCAGGAAGACGGCGCUAUGCAUUGUAAACUGCUUUUAUACGGGGGUAAACAUAGAUACGUGUAUUUGGAUGAAAGUACCGUAUGAAUAAGGAUCGGCUAACUCCGUGCCAGCAGCCGCGGUAAUACGGAGGAUCCGAGCGUUAUCCGGAUUUAUUGGGUUUAAAGGGUGCGUAGGCGGCCUGGUAAGUUAGAGGUGAAAUGUCGGUGCUCAACAUCGGAACUGCGUCUGAUACUGUCUGGCUAGAGUGUAGGUGCGGCAGGCGGAAUGUGUGGUGUAGCGGUGAAAUGCUUAGAUAUCACACAGAACACCGAUUGCGAAGGCAGCUUACGAAGCUAUUACUGACGCUGAGGCACGAAGGCGUGGGGAGCGAACAGGAUUAGAUACCCCUGUAGUC
rnacentral:rRNA from 1 species